CGAACGAGCACUGAGGUUUCGGCCAAAUAUGCUUAGUGGCGGACUGGUGAGUAACGCGUGAGGACCUGCCUUCCAGAGGGGGACAACAGUUGGAAACGACUGCUAAUACCGCAUGACGGGGCAUCCCAAAGAUUUUAUCGCUGGAAGAUGGCCUCGCGUCUGAUUAGCUAGAUGGUGGGGUAACGGCCCACCAUGGCGACGAUCAGUAGCCGGACUGAGAGGUUGACCGGCCACAUUGGGACUGAGAUACGGCCCAGACUCCUACGGGAGGCAGCAGUGGGGAAUAUUGGGCAAUGGACGCAAGUCUGACCCAGCAACGCCGCGUGAAGGAAGAAGGCUUUCGGGUUGUAAACUUCUUUUGUCAGGGAAGAUAGAAGACGGUACCUGACGAAUAAGCCACGGCUAACUACGUGCCAGCAGCCGCGGUAAUACGUAGGUGGCAAGCGUUGUCCGGAUUUACUGGGUGUAAAGGGCGUGCAGCCGGGCCGGCAAGUCAGAUGUGAAAUCUGGAGGCUUAACCUCCAAACUGCAUUUGAAACUGUAGGUCUUGAGUACCGGAGAGGUUAUCGGAAUUCCUUGUGUAGCGGUGAAAUGCGUAGAUAUAAGGAAGAACACCAGUGGCGAAGGCGGAUAACUGGACGGCAACUGACGGUGAGGCGCGAAAGCGUGAGGAGCAAACAGGAUUAGAUACCCUGGUAGUCCACGCUGUAAACGAUG
rnacentral:rRNA from 1 species